UUUUUUUUUUUUUUUUUUUUUUUUUUUUUUUUUUUUUUUUUUUGUUUU
rnacentral:ribozyme from 1 species